rnacentral:rRNA from 1 species
UACAUGGGGUGCAAACGUUGCUCGGAAUCAUUGGGCGUAAAGCGCGCGUAGGCGGUUGUCUAAGUCAGAUGUGAAAGCCCUCGGCUCAACUGGGGAAGUGCAUCUGAAACUGGGCAGCUAGAGUACUAAAGAGGGUCGCGGAAUUCCCGGUGUAGAGGUGAAAUUCGUAGAUAUCGGGAGGAACACCGGUGGCGAAGGCGGCGACCUGGGUAGAUACUGACGCUGAGGCGCGAAAGCGUGGGGAGCAAACAGG